UUUGUAAAAGCUCCGGUAGCUUAAUGGUUAAAGUGUCCUCUCGGAUGCGGGAGGUCUUGGGUUCGAUACCCAAACCAAAGACUUACAAAA